UUUAUUUUUAUUUUAUAAAAAAAAACCUAAUUUCCCUUCUCCUUCUUCAUCGCGUCUGCCCUCCCCUCGAAAAUUUCCCUUCCCGCCGCCGUCACCAAUCGUCCAGCCGCUCAUCCAGACCAUCGCCGUCUAGCCAACCAUCCGGUUCACACCUCAGAUUUUUCGGCCGAAGCCUCCCCCUAGCACGCCGCCUCGAACCUCAAGCCGACCAACCCAGUCGCACGACCCACGCUAGUCUAGUCACGCCGUUGUCCAGCUCCAUUCCUCAUGUAGUCGCUCGCUCGCCUGACGUUGCUGCCAUUGGAGUCUCACUGUCGAUUGAAACUCCUCCUCCUACAAGACAUUGAGCCCUCUGCCGCUCGUCUCUCCCUCUCUCUUUCAAAUUUGACGACACCGUAAGCCCCUCAGACAUUCAUAGCCACUAUUCUGUUGCCACAGCCGUUCGUGUGCCUCCCUCAGAUCGUCGUAGGCCGCCUUUAUUAUCAGAGUUAGUGGUUUUGGAUGGAAUUGGAAUUUUCCAAAGGAAUUUAGGUGCUGAUCAUUGGAACUAAAAUCUAUUUCGGUGGAGAUUUUGGAGACUGGAUUGUUUUGGAGCAAGUAUUGACCAAGCUUUGUCUUGAGGAUCUAAUUCAAAGUUUGUGAAUGUUGGAAAGAAGUUCAUUUGCUUGAAUUAAUUUUAGGCUCAAUUUUGAGGUAAGGGUAGAGAUGCACCGGCGAUGGCGCAGCGGAAUUCGUGAUCGUGUCACUGGGACUAGUUU